UGCGGCUGGAUCCCCUCCUUUCUAAGGAGCGUGGAAGGCGUCUUCGGACGUCAUGCCACCAAUCCUAGGUCAGCCCCGGGCUCGCGAGAGCUCAGGGAGGCGGACUCGAGGAAGGCGGACCGCAUCUCCUCGUACAAGCUUGCUAUUCAGUCUCCAGGGACCGAGCGAUCGGUUCUUUGAAACUCAUGUGGAAGCGUCGGAAGGCAUCAGGCACGGGCCUAUAGCUCAGUUGGUCUAGAGCGCACGCCUGACAAGCGUGAGGUCGGUGGUUCAAAUCCACCUAGGCCCACCAGUUCCGACGACGAGGCUUCGUGGGGCUGUAGCUCAGUUGGUAGAGCGCCAGCUUUGCAAGCUGGAUGUCGUCGGUUCGACUCCGAUCAGCUCCACCAGGUCAUGCCGGGAACUCGAGUCCCGGCGCCGCGCGGGCCGCAACGCCGCCGGCCGAAGCACUCUGACAACCGAAUACGAAGGGUAAAGAAGAGCAUCGCGCAGCGAGGUCUUCGCGGGUCCAAACCUCCGAAGGGUCUGGAUCUCGACCUCGAACGCGGCGCCGCUCGAGCCAUCGGCUCGGGAGGCCUGAGUUCAGGGUGACCAAGCUACUAAGGGCAUGUGGUGGAUGCCUUGGCUCUAGGAGGCGACGAAGGACGUGGGUAGCUGCGAAAAGCUACGGGGAGCCGCUAACCAGGCUUGAUCCGGGAUGUCCGAAUGGGGAAACCCGG
rnacentral:misc_RNA from 1 species